UUCUCAUAGAUGCCAAAUGGAGAUUUAGGGCACUGGCAUUGAGUGGCUCAAAUCGAGGGAUUUAAGAAGGUCGAGGCGUGCACUUGUCAGAUUUCAUCUGUGAGCAAAUGCUGCAUAAAUAUAAUAAAGAAAGUCAUACAGUUUUAAAGUGACAUGAGGAAAUCAACGUCAGCACACCCCGCUAAAAGACUCUAGUGUACCAUCCUCUCUCUGAGCUCCGCCUCUCUCCCUCCUCCCGGCUAAUAUAAGGACGCCCACACCGACUCCAAACACUGUGAGAGGGAGAAAACCAGAGGUCACACUGAUAAGAGAAAGGAAAAAAGAGGCCGCCUGUAUAUCUGAGAGGCUCGACAGAG